GAUGAACGCUGACAGAGUGCUUAACACAUGCAAGUCAACUGUGGCGGACGGGUGAGUAACGCGUAAAGAACUUGCCUCACAGAUAGGGCCAACAUUUGGAAACGAAUGCUAAUACCUGAUACUGUGAGAGAGCUUUGCGUCCCAUUAGCUAGUUGGAGAGGUAACGGCUCACCAAGGCGAUGAUGGGUAGCCGGCCUGAGAGGGUGAUCGGCCACAAGGGGACUGAGACACGGCCCUUACUCCUACGGGAGGCAGCAGUGGGGAAUAUUGGACAAUGGACCAAAGUCUGAUGAAGCAAUUCGGUGUGCAAGAUGAAGUUUUCGGAAUGAAAAGGGCUUUCAGUUGGGAAGCAGUACCAACAGAAGAAGUGACGGCUAAAUACGUGCCAGCAGCCGCGGUAAUAC
rnacentral:rRNA from 1 species